rnacentral:tRNA from 1 species
GCCGAAGUGGCGGAACUGGCAUACGCGUACGGUUCAGAACCGUAUCCCGCAAGGGUUGGAGGUUCGAGUCCUCUCUUCGGCA